GACGAACGCUGGCGGCGUGCUUAACACAUGCAAGUCGAACGGACAGGCCCUGCUCUUGUGGGGUGCUCGAGUGGCGAACGGGUGAGUAUCACAUGUGUAACCUGCCCUUGAAUUUGGGAUAACUUCAGGAAACUGGGGCUAUUACCCGAUAGGAGCUCCUGCUGCAUGGUGGGGGUUGGAAAGUUUCGGCGGUUUGGGCUGGACUCGCGGCUUAUCAGCUUGUUGGUGGGGUAGUGGCUUACCAAGGUUUCGACGGGUAGCCGGCCUGGGAGGGUGACCGGCGACAUUGGGACUGAGAGACGGCCCAGAAGCGUACGGGAGGCAGCAGUGGGGAAUAUUGCACAAUGGGCGGAAGCCUGAGGCGGCAACGCCGCGUGCGGGAUGACGUCCUUCGGGUUGUAAACCGCUUUCGCCUGUGACGAAGCGUGAGUGACGGUAAUGGGUAAAGAAGCACCGGCUAACUACGUG
rnacentral:rRNA from 1 species